rnacentral:rRNA from 1 species
AUUGAACGCUGGCGGCAUGCCUUACACAUGCAAGUCGAACGGCAGCACGGGGCAACCUGGUGGCGAGUGGCGAACGGGUGAGUAAUGCAUCGGAACGUACCUUUCAGUGGGGGAUAACGUAGCGAAAGUUACGCUAAUACCGCAUAUUCUGUGAGCAGGAGAGCAGGGGAUCGCAAGACCUUGCGCUGAUUGAGCGGCCGAUGUCAGAUUAGCUAGUUGGGGAGGUAAAGGCUCACCAAGGCGACGAUCUGUAGCGGGUCUGAGAGGAUGAUCCGCCACACUGGAAAUGAGACACGGUCCAGACUCCUACGGGAGGCAGCGGUGGGGAAUUUUGGACAAUGGGGGCAACCCUGAUCCAGCCAUGCCGCGUGAGUGAAGAAGGCCUUCGGGUUGUAAAGCUCUUUCGGCCGGGAAGAAAUCGCACGGGCUAAUACCCUGUGUGGAUGACGGUACCGGAAUAAGAAGCACCGGCUAACUACGUGCCAGCCGCCGCAGUAAUAC